rnacentral:snRNA from 1 species
AGGCAGAUCUAACUGCUACAUGUUACCCCAUUGGUUGCCAGGAUUCAUUCAGCUCAUCCGACAGGUGUCCCCUUCCUCCACCAUUACUCUGCAGGUGUCCCUCUCGAUGCUGUAUGCUCAGUUGAAGAGGACAGAUUUCCUUGAACAGAGAUGUACCAUUCUUCUGUCUGGGUCAUGAGUAGUUGCACUCUCAAAAUGCUUAACCUCUGAGCUUGAGAGAUAGGACAGAGGUUAAGAUACUUAGGCACUUGCCUUGCACAUUGCUGACCCUGGUUCAAU